rnacentral:snoRNA from 1 species
CAUCUCUGACAGACCUGGAACAGUUAAUGUCUGCUAAGGUUUCCACUACAGAUAAAGAAAAAAGGUUUUCGUGCUUUGUCUGGUUGUGGCAGCCAAAAUUGAAUGGGGGAAUACAAGG